GGUAUCCACUGUAGGCCUAUAUGUAUUUCGACCAUAAGGCACGCGGUGAAUGCCAA
rnacentral:pre_miRNA from 1 species